rnacentral:rRNA from 1 species
CUUGCUUCUCUUGAGAGCGGCGGACGGGUGAGUAAUGCCUAGGAAUCUGCCUGGUAGUGGGGGAUAACGUUCGGAAACGAACGCUAAUACCGCAUACGUCCUACGGGAGAAAGCAGGGGACCUUCGGGCCUUGCGCUAUCAGAUGAGCCUAGGUCGGAUUAGCUAGUUGGUGAGGUAAUGGCUCACCAAGGCGACGAUCCGUAACUGGUCUGAGAGGAUGAUCAGUCACACUGGAACUGAGACACGGUCCAGACUCCUACGGGAGGCAGCAGUGGGGAAUAUUGGACAAUGGGCGAAAGCCUGAUCCAGCCAUGCCGCGUGUGUGAAGAAGGUCUUCGGAUUGUAAAGCACUUUAAGUUGGGAGGAAGGGCAGUUACCUAAUACGUGAUUGUUUUGACGUUACCGACAGAAUAAGCACCGGCUAACUCUGUGCCAGCAGCCGCGGUAAUACAGAGGGUGCAAGCGUUAAUCGGAAUUACUGGGCGUAAAGCGCGCGUAGGUGGUUUGUUAAGUUGGAUGUGAAAUCCCCGGGCUCAACCUGGGAACUGCAUUCAAAACUGACUGACUAGAGUAUGGUAGAGGGUGGUGGAAUUUCCUGUGUAGCGGUGAAAUGCGUAGAUAUAGGAAGGAACACCAGUGGCGAAGGCGACCACCUGGACUAAUACUGACACUGAGGUGCGAAAGCGUGGGGAGCAAACAGGAUUAGAUACCCUGGUAGUCCACGCCGUAAACGAUGUCAACUAGCCGUUGGAAGCCUUGAGCUUUUAGUGCGCAGCUAACGCAUUAAGUUGACCGCCUGGGGA